AUUGAACGCUGGCGGCAUGGCUAAUGCAUGCAAGUCGAACGAAAGCCCUUCGGGGCGAAAGUGGCGAAAGGGCGAGUAAUACGAUCGAACGUACCCCAAGGUGGAGGAUAGUGUCGGGAAACUGACGGUAAUACUCCAUGUGCUCUUCGGAGGAAAGCUUUGGCGCCUCGGGAGCGGCGAUCGUCCUAUCAGGUAGUUGGUGAGGUAAUGGCUCACCAAGCCGAAGACGGGUAGCGGGUGUGAGAGCAUGACCCGCCGCAUCGGGACUGAGACACUGCCCGGACUCCUACGGGAGGCUGCAGCGACGAAUCUUCCGCAAUGGGCGCAAGCCUGACGGAGCAAUGCCGCGUGUGGGACGAAGCGUCUUCGACGUGUAAACCACUGUCAGAAUCUAGGAACACUGACCAGAUUCAAAGGAAGGGCCGGCUAACCUCGUGCCAGCAGCCGCGGUAAUGUAGACG
rnacentral:rRNA from 1 species